rnacentral:lncRNA from 1 species
CAGGGCUCAGCACAGCACAAAGGUGGAGGUAAGAAAGCAUUGUUACAUUAUCAGGUAACUUGCUUAAUAUGUGGGACCUUGCAGAGGGUACAGGGUAUGCUGAGCAUUGUCAGGAUUUCUGCUAAGAGGGGUGCUUGUGACGUGGGAGCCCCGUGCUUCAUGGCCCCCAGGUCUGGACUUGCUUCAUCUCCCCGCACCCUCCACACCUUCAGAGUUGGAACAAAGCCAGCUGUUUCAGGAAGACAGCUUGUUGUUGACAGGACUCAGGAAGAGGACGGAUGUGGCCACUUAGGUUUCCGUUGGGCAACACGAUUCCUUCCCAUGUCGAAAGUGACUGGAUUUCUUCAGAGUCCCUCCCCUUACCUUCUAGAUCUCACUUCUUCCACCUCCUGAUUUGAGUCUGGCUAAAUGAAAGGGAUGAUGAUUCUGGGAUUAUGUGGGGUCAUUUGCCCCCAACACACAUAUACACAGGAACCUGCAACAUACGUGGACACUCCGGGUCCCUAGACAUCCAGUCAAUGUAUCUUGCAGGCUGACACUGUGAGGGGAGCAGGGGGAGCUGGGGAUUGAACCCAGCACUCCCCUGGGUUUAUUAUGCUAGACAAGUGCUCUGCCACUGCACUACAUCCCCAGGCCCUAGGUUGACAUUUUAAACUCACUUGGAGAACAUUUUAACACAUUGAUCUUUAAGGAAAUAAAGAAGAAGGAAAACUUUGUUUCCAUUUUAUGUGCUAGAUUAAUUUUUAGGGAUAGUGGAGUAGGGAGAUGUGGG